rnacentral:tRNA from 1 species
GGUGGCUCAGUGGUAGAGCGCUUGCCGUGCAUGCAAGAGGCCCUGGGUUCGAUUCCUCAGCACCA